ensembl:lncRNA
GUUAGGAGGGUGGGGGUGUUGGUGAGUAAACGAGCAGAUCAAGUUGGAUAGCUAGGAAGGGGCAAGGCUUGGAAUGCCUUAUUCACCGGCCUGAGUUUGGAAUUUAUCCUGAUAGCAGAGGGGAAAUGCUCGAGCAUUUUAAGAAGGGAAUUUCCAUCAUCAGAUUUGCAUUUGGAGCGGGGUAUCAUACUGGGAGCAAAAUAGAAGCUGGAUUAAAGAGAGGGUUGUAGUGGAGGCUGGCCGGGAGGCUACGGAAACUGUCCGUGCAAGAGAUAACGGAGCCAGAGGAAGGCCAUUGGCAGUGGGGGUGGGGGAGGCUGGGACGGAACAGACUGAGCUAAGAUGCAGAGGAGCUCUGGCGGGUGCACUGCUGGUGUGCUAAGCCGCUUCAGUCGUGUUUGACUUUUUGCGGCCCCAUGGAUGGUAGCCAGCCAGAUUCCUCUAUCUAUGGGAUUCUCCAGGCACAAAUACUUGAGUGGUUUGCCAUUUCCUUCUCCAGGGGAUCUUCCCAACCCAGGGAUUGAGCCAGCCUCUCUUACGUCUCCUACAUUGGCUUGUGGGUUCUUUACCACUAGCAUCACCUGGGAAGGCUGGCUGGUGCAGUCAGGUGGGGGUAAUAUACUAGGAAGGCAGCAGUCCUGGGAGGCUCCCAGAUCUCUGGCUUGGGUAGGAGUCAUGAUGUGGGAAGGGACCUAGAAGAGGAGCAGAUUUGGAAGAAAGAUGACAAGCUGAGUUUGGAGUGGAUGAGCCUGAGAGCCUGGGGCAUGUCCAAGUGGAAAUGUCAAGUAGGCCAUAGAGUGGCCGUGGCGCUCGGGACAGAAGUGCCUCUGCCACCACGAGGAACCACCGGCCACUGUGAUAGUCACUCAACCAUGUCUGACUCUUUCCGAGGAGCUCCUCUGUCCAUGGAAUUCUCCAGGCAAGAAUACUGGGCUCAGUAAGAGUGAGGCCUUGACUGCACAACUCAAGUGCACAGAUUGCACUGAGGACUGGAGCAGUCCCAACAGCUUCCAGCAGAGGGCAGUGUCGGAGCGGAUCUGCGUCUCUCUACGGGGCCCUCAGGGGUUCGCUGCCUCACCAAUAGGAAUCUUUAAAUUGCUCUGAAAUUAGCAAGGGCUUCCCUGGUCAAAUUCCAGUGAGGGGAGAGUCUGUCCAGUCAGAGGAAAGACCGGGAACAAAGCCUGUUGCAGAGUGUGCUGCCCAGUGGGAAAGAAAACAGGGCCAAGGAGAAAGUAUCCUUGUGGAGUCUGUGUGUUAUGACUGCACAGGCGGAGAGAACUGAUCAAAGUAAGCCAGGAGCACAGAGGGUUUUCUCCAAGGCAAGCGUCGAUGUCUGCUUAAGUCUGGUCCACACACUUGAGAUGAAAGCUCGAGUUUCACAGAGGAAAUGUUAUUUACUGGGCAAAACAACAGGCAGGAUGGAAACAUGCAGUCCCCAAACUUAUUCUUUCGAUUUCAUCAAUCAUUCAAGCCAUGUCUCCUUUUGGGGAAAAAGAAAGUCCACGUGCCAGAGACACAGCUGCCUUUAGAGAGGAAACCCAGGAAACAACAGACAGUGCUGCUGGGUAGUUCCCCCUUCCUCUCACCCCAGGCCCAUCUGGGCCAGCAAGUCUGGCUUCCAUUGUUCCUUUGUUUAAUACUAUCCGUGUGGGAUUAACAAUAUCAUUAUGAAACCAGAGGAGCACUGACAGUGAAAUCCACAGAUCUGCAUAAACAUAUUGGUCCACAGACAACUGGAAUCUGAGUCAGUCUCUCAGCUCCCGUGCUAAGCUCUCUUAGCUUGUCCCUCUUCAUUCACCUCCACCAUUUCCUGCCCUGCUUUGUGCUGAGGAAGCUGCCUAGGUGAAGCAAAGCCACAUGCUUCCCUGACAAUCAGUUUCUAGUUUGGAUGGACCACUGAGAAGUGCCUGUAAGAAGGGAGGACUGAGUAUUUCUUCCCCAGGCUCCCUCCCUGCCUGCAGUUAGCAGAGUCUUCAUUCCUCUGCAGCUUCUGAGUCAUCCUAUAGUUACAGAAAUAAAUAACCACUCUCUCUUCUUCCCUUUUUAUGACGUGGGAAGUUAGAGAUUUCUGGAGAGCGUGGCUACUUCACUGCCUUUAAUCCCUCUUACACCCUUGGAAAUAGUUCCUUCAUUAAUUUAUCUUCAGUUAUCCCUUCUGAGUGUACC